GACGAACGCUGGCGGCGUGCUUAACACAUGCAAGUCGAACGAAGUGGCGAACGGGUGAGUAACGCGUAAUCAACCUGCCCUUCAGAGGGGGCCAACAGUUGGAAACGACUGCUACUACCGCAUACUGACGGGGGGGAUUUCGUCUGAUUAGCUAGUUGGAGGGGUAACGGCCCACCAAGGCGAUGAUCAGUAGCCGGUCGGAGAGGAUGAACGGCAACAUUGGGACUGAGACACGGCCCAGACUCCUACGGGAGGCAGCAGUGGGGAAUCUUCCGAAAUGGACGAAAGUCUGACGGAGCAACGCAGCGUGAGUGAUGACGGCCUUCGGGUUGUAAAGCUCUGUUAAUCGGGACGCGGUACCGGAAUAGAAAGCCACGGCUAACUACGUGCCAGCAGCCGCGGUAAUUC
rnacentral:rRNA from 1 species